AGAACAAUGACUGACAGGGAUUCUAACAAUCACUGACACGAAUUCUAACAAUGACUGACACGGAUUAUAACAAUGUCUGACAAGGAUUAUAACAACGAUUGACAGGGAUUAUGGCAAUGACUGACAGGGAUUAUAACAAUGACUGACAAGGAUUAUAACAAUGAUUGACAGGGAGUAUAACAAUGAUUGACAGGGAUUAUAGCAAUG